UAUGGGUUUAUGGGUAGGAAUCUGAAAACAGCGGUUCUGGCUAGAUGGGAUACAGAUACGACAUACAUCUCGCAUAAUGUUGGCGCUGAUGUUUGGGUGUAGCAUUAAGGAUGUAGAUAAGAAUGAAAAUGGCGCUCCUCUGACGAGAUUGGUCGUUGCUGUAUCCCUUCUAGCCACAGCUGCGCAUGCGCUCAUCUGUGCAGUCGCCUCAGCAGCACAACAUCCUGAGCAUGACUUCUUUAGUCGAGGAAACUGAGGUAAAACUGAAGAAAACAAACGCUUAUCUGCUGAAAUUAAAGUUAAUUGGAGUCGACAGUGAUCAGAGCAAGUGAGAAAGUUACGGUUCAACUUAAAGAAAUAAAAAAUAAGACAUUAAUCAUAAAAAGAGCUUCUGUGAGACUGACUGAAUAGAUUCAACAAGACAUCAACAAUCAGGUGGAGGUUUCAGAGUUCAAAUAUCUUCAUCUGUCUUCAUCAGUUUGUGUCUGUAGUCUCUAUCAACAUCUCUUAUAAAGAUGCAGAAGAUCAGAACUGAAGCGACAAUCAUCAGACAUCCAAC